rnacentral:rRNA from 1 species
UAUUUAUAUGAGAGUUUGAUCCUGGCUCAGGAUGAACGCUGGCGGCGUGCCUAAUACAUGCAAGUCGAACGAGUUC